CAGGCUUAACACAUGCAAGUCGAGGGGCAGCAUGGUCUUAGCUUGCUAAGGCCGAUGGCGACCGGCGCACGGGUGAGUAACACGUAUCCAACCUGCCGUCUACUCUUGGACAGCCUUCUGAAAGGAAGAUUAAUACAAGAUGGCAUCAUGAGUCCGCAUGUUCACAUGAUUAAAGGUAUUCCGGUAGACGAUGGGGAUGCGUUCCAUUAGAUAGUAGGCGGGGUAACGGCCCACCUAGUCUUCGAUGGAUAGGGGUUCUGAGAGGAAGGUCCCCCACAUUGGAACUGAGACACGGUCCAAACUCCUACGGGAGGCAGCAGUGAGGAAUAUUGGUCAAUGGGCGAGAGCCUGAACCAGCCAAGUAGCGUGAAGGAUGACUGCCCUAUGGGUUGUAAACUUCUUUUAUAAAGGAAUAAAGUCGGGUAUGCAUACCCGUUUGCAUGUACUUUAUGAAUAAGGAUCGGCUAACUCCGUGCCAGCAGCCGCGGUAAUACGGAGGAUCCGAGCGUUAUCCGGAUUUAUUGGGUUUAAAGGGAGCGUAGAUGGAUGUUUAAGUCAGUUGUGAAAGUUUGCGGCUCAACCGUAAAAUUGCAGUUGAUACUGGAUAUCUUGAGUGCAGUUGAGGCAGGCGGAAUUCGUGGUGUAGCGGUGAAAUGCUUAGAUAUCACGAAGAACUCCGAUUGCGAAGGCAGCCUGCUAAGCUGCAACUGACAUUGAGGCUCGAAAGUGUGGGUAUCAAACAGGAUUAGAUACCCUGGUAGUCCACACGGUAAACGAUGAAUACUCGCUGUUUGCGAUAUACAGCAAGCGGCCAAGCGAAAGCGUUAAGUAUUCCACCUGGGGAGUACGCCGGCAACGGUGAAACUCAAAGGAAUUGACGGGGGCCCGCACAAGCGGAGGAACAUGUGGUUUAAUUCGAUGAUACGCGAGGAACCUUACCCGGGCUUAAAUUGCAGAUGAAUUACGGUGAAAGCCGUAAGCCGCAAGGCAUCUGUGAAGGUGCUGCAUGGUUGUCGUCAGCUCGUGCCGUGAGGUGUCGGCUUAAGUGCCAUAACGAGCGCAACCCUUGUUGUCAGUUACUAACAGGUUCCGCUGAGGACUCUGACAAGACUGCCAUCGUAAGAUGUGAGGAAGGUGGGGAUGACGUCAAAUCAGCACGGCCCUUACGUCCGGGGCUACACACGUGUUACAAUGGGGGGUACAGAGGGCCGCUACCACGCGAGUGGAUGCCAAUCCCAAAAACCUCUCUCAGUUCGGACUGGAGUCUGCAACCCGACUCCACGAAGCUGGAUUCGCUAGUAAUCGCGCAUCAGCCACGGCGCGGUGAAUACGUUCCCGGGCCUUGUACACACCGCCCGUCAAGCCAUGGGAGCCGGGGGUACCUGAAGUGCGUAACCGCGAGGAGCGCCCUAGGGUAAAACUGGUGACUGGGGCUAAGU
rnacentral:rRNA from 1 species